rnacentral:tRNA from 1 species
GUGGGGGUGGCCCAGCCUGGUAAGGCGUUAGACUGCUAAUCUAAUGUCCGUACGGACUCGCGAGUUCGAAUCUCGCCCCCCACGCCA